GGCUGGUUAGCUCAGUCAGUAGAGCUUGGCGCUAACAAUGCUAAGGUCGCGGGUUCGAUUCCCGUUCGGUCC
rnacentral:tRNA from 1 species